rnacentral:sRNA from 1 species
CCACCACUCUGAUGUAGUGCACACUUAAGAAUUUAUAUGGAUCAGCGUUGAGGCUGAGACAUGUUCUUUUAUAACUUGUGACGUAGCGAGCGUUUGAGAUAUCUAUCUAAACGUGUCGUUGAGGCUAAGGCGGGGACUUCGAGUCCCUAAAUAAUUGAGUCGUAUGUUCGCGUUGGUGGCUUUGUAGCCCACACAACACGACAUAUGAUCCUGAGGCAACUUGGGGUUAUAUGGUCAAGCGAAUAAGCGCACACGGUGGAUGCCUAGGCGGUCAGAGGCGAUGAAGGACGUGGUAGCCUGCGAAAAGUGUCGGGGAGCUGGCAACAAGCUUUGAUCCGGCAAUAUCCGAAUGGGGAAACCCACUGCUUCGGCAGUAUCCUGCAGUGAAUUCAUAGCUGCUGGAAGCGAACCCGGUGAACUGAAAUAUCUAAGUAACCGGAGGAAAAGAAAUCAACCGAGAUUCCCUAAGUAGUGACGAGCGAACGGGGAGCAGCCCUUAAGCUGGAAUGGCUUUAGAAAAAUAAUCUGGAAAGAUUGGCCAUAGAAGGUGAUAGCCCUGUAUUUAAAAGGGCCACUCCAGUGAAGACGAGUAGGGCGGGGCACGUGAAACCCUGUCUGAAUAUGGGGGGACCAUCCUCCAAGGCUAAAUACUCCUGACCGACCGAUAGUGAACCAGUACC